ACCACCUCUUUGCAGAACUGGAGGUGAUCACCUCGCAUGCUCAAAUGCUUGGUCUUAGGCCACAAAGUUUGGCAGAAAUCAGUGAUUUUUCAGAACGUUGGAAGGUGCCCACAACUGGCGCUAGUGUACUUUUUGUCACUUCAAACCACCUAUGGACAGUCCUUUGCUUUUCCAUACAAGAGUGAGCUUAGGAAUGCUUUGCUUCAUUCUAGGUCAGGCUGCCUGCACAUAUAGACCCUUUCCUGUGCUGCCUUAUUGCCAUUAAAUACAGCAUAUGACAAGAUUUUGUUAAUACUGUACUGUGGUCAACAUCUGUUAGUGAUAGUGAAAGUCAUCCUACACAAUAAUCCACCUCUCCCUUGACUCCCUCACACUAGCUGCGAAGGUAUUCAAAGCCCAUCUGAAAAACCACUGCAUCCUCUGUAGGUGUAAGAAUAGUCUGCUGUAAGGUCAGGAGAUGAGAUCAACUCCUCAACAGAAAAUGUUGUCUAACCAGGAACCAAGAUGGCCCUUCCCAGGAUGCUGAUGAACCACCAGCACAUUCUUUGAUUUUCCUCACCCUCAUUAUUUACAAUAGCCAAGAUAUGGAAGCAGAUGAAGUAUCCAUCAAUAGGUGAAUGGAUAAAGAAGAUGUAGUAUAUAUACACAAUGAACUAUUACUCAGCCAUAAAAAAGAAUGAAAUCUUGCCAUUUGGAACAACACAGAUGGACCUAGCAGCAAAAUUGAAAACACAGCCUUUUCCUGAUGACCAGAUGGCCCAGCAGAUUUAAUCACUUCAAGUACCCCGCACUUCCUCUUCACUACCCUCCAUGGUGGGGAAAUCAGAGGCAAACUCCUUAUUUCUCCCAGAUGCCAACCUCUCUCAAGUGCUUCCCUCAAUCAUUAUUUUUAAAAUACCAGAGCAAUGGAGUUGGGAGAAAGCAGCAUGUCUUUAAAGCUAUAAAAGAAAACCAAUCUUCAGAGGAGAGUAAGAGUAAGUGAAAAAGAAGUCAAAGUUAUAUUCUUCAUUAAUAUUUAAUUUAACAAGGACGCCACUUACAUUUAUUUUAGCUUAUCUGGUAUUGUUGUUUAGAUUAAAAUUUUCCUUCAAAUUCACAUUGAGGUCUUCAGUGAGUAAAGCAAAGAAAUUCUGAUGGAUAACGUAGAGCAAUAUGAAUAGAAUCUUACGUCAUUGAUAUCCACUUAAUACUGUGGACUGUUUUAGCUAAUAAAAGCUUAUCAUGAUUCCUGAGUUUCUUUUGGCAUAUUUUCCUUUGAUAGUCUUAUAUAGGUAGUUUAUUAAAUGGGCAAGGGGCAUUAAGGACAUUUAGGCAAAGGGCAUUUACUUCCUGUUUCUUCCACCUGAAAAGAUGGGUACCUUAGGCUUACCAAUACAUGAAAAAAUACAGGAAAAGAAAUUCAUGUGGGUAAGCUACAUUCCAGCACAGAUAAGUUAACUACACGAAAGGAGAUUUUCUCCACAGUUUGGUCUCUUAUAUCAUCAGGAAAUCAACCCUCGACCCAUUCCUCAAACCAAUUUUAAAGAUGGUAACUAAUGUUCUCAUUUACAUGGGAAUUGAUAACUCCUUCAAUAAUUGCUUAAAACAAUAACAUGUGAAGGUUGCUAUGAAUUGUCAAGGAAAAUUAAUUUGCAGGAGGGAUUUUUAUUAACAGAGUUGUGAAGUGAAACAAAAAAGGAAGUGGCAGCACCUCUUCUGCAUUUGGAAAAUAUGCUCUUAGAAAAUGUGCAAGCAAGUCACAUACACACUUGUUUCUAAAAGCUCAGGACACUAAUGCAUUCUAAAAAGCAUGGCUAUAAAGCCAUCAUUCAGAAAUAAAAGUGGAUUCUACAGGUUCCAGCCUAAAUGGUUAGAUGGCAUAUUUUC